CAGCCCUAGGGAGGAGUAAUUCGCCCAGCUGGGCAGAGGCAAGGGGUAGAGGGCAGACUCGUAGAGAGAGUGGGGUUUGCUGUGGGUGGGCCGCUGCCUGCGUAGGCUUCAGUCGGCGGUGAUGCCACCGCUACCGCCCCAUCCUCGCGUUCCGUUAGCUAGACCUCCUACCCACCUUAAAGUUCGUCUUCCCGUUUUAGAUGUUGGAGUAGUUAUAGGGGCUCGCGUUCGAUCUUGACGUCAAAUCAAGAUGUCAAAGGCCGGGAUAAGGAGAGAAAAACAGCGCGUCCUUUUUAACCCUCGGAAGUGGUACCGGCGGUUAUAGGUAGAUGCCCAUGUAGAACGAGGGAAUGAUCGACAUGUUAUAAGAUCGGAUUACUACACAAAUAAUUAGGGGUUAAGUACCUAAGAACGAAGGAUAGGAAAGUUAAACAAGUACAUGGUCUAAGUUCCCCGUUAAUGGAGUGUGUAGAACUAGACAGUAGAGGAAAAAGGCUCAGUCCAAACUACUUCUAAACCUAUUGAUCUAUCUAAAUACACCUUUAAGACAUGUGAAGCGGGCUACUAAAAGCGCCCGUCCGCUAUCGAUGUAUACGUCGGUUUAAUUAAAUGGUACGUACAAGACGUUAAAAAGUAAAUUACCAAAAUAUAGCAUAUACCCAAUUACUAAAGGAAUAUAUAUUUACGAAUACUAUUCUAACACACGCAAACAUCUAUUCCGUAGUGCUUAUCGGUAUCAACUUAUUUUCGCAGUCCAUACUCGAUGAUGUAAAAAAAUUAACUAAUAUAUAACACUCUUAUCGAUCUCGCGAACACCGGUAUGACGAGGUACAGAAUACAUGUUAGUUAUAACAUAGUACUAACGUGACAUACGGUUCACUUAUACAUCAGGCGGAUCUAAUUACAAUCCUACGUCAUACACGCAAUACUAGGGUUGAUCUUUAACCUGUUCUUGACAAAAAAACCAGGCACUACCAAAAAAGAGAGUCAAUACAUUUAUGCACUUUAUAAACUUUCCACAAAAAUAAUAAAGUUCAUUACGCCAUAAAUCGUUAGGGUAAAGUAUCUUGAUAAAUGAAGGGGUAACGUUUUCACAGAUAAACUGUCCAUUCUUAUCUGUGCCAGAUCGUAGGUAAUCUACACUUGGGCUAAAGUCAAAACGGUUUACAGAAAUCUUGAAGUCAGUAGUGCAAUUAAUUGGGAAAAAUAGAGGUAUAUAUCCCGAUACAGACAGUCGUAAAAGUUGAAUACUUCGGCUGUUCGAUUGUAAGAAUAAAUAUUUACUUUUAUCACUUCGGAGAGGUACUGAAAACUCCCCUUUUUUCCAGCCGGAUGUACAAAGAAUCAAAACUUCCUAACGACGGCUGGCGUUCACAUAACCACCAGUAGAAUUCUAGAGUGGGCCUCGUCGUAGACAAAAGAUAGAGCGACAGUGGAUACGGAAUUCUUAAGGUCAAAUACGUAUAAACAACAUAAUCAAGAGUGCGACCUGUAAGUUGAAUACCAUAUAGAAGAAAGUACUAAUUUGAAACGGCCGGCAUAUCCUGCCCAAUAUGUUAGGAUACAACAUAACUUAGUUGAGGACACACAUCCUUGCAUCUGGUACCUUUUACGCCGUAUUGACUUUUUCUUGAUAAGACAUCCUAUGAAUGUGAAUCGGUGGUGAAUCGUCGAUUUGGAGCUCGCGAAUUUAUAAAAAACGUAAAAUUGUGUACCAAGAGUAUGAAUUAACCAACACUUCCAGUGUUGAUACAUGUCGACCAGUCACUUGAACCACCCAUUAUAUCUAGAAGGUUAAUUGUUUUAAACAACUUAAUUUACAUUUUGCUUAUAUCAAGGAAAAAUGUAAUAAAUAAUAAUACACCAAAAGGUCUAAAAAAACCAGAUCCAUCACUACUGAAGGAUUUAAACGAGUGGUAAAAAAAAGGAAGAAAACCAGAGCGUGUACAUUAGAAUUUCCUAACCUAAAUGUGGUUCCGUAUAGGUAGAGUGAUGUAAUCGGAGAGUUAACGAAAGUAACACCUUAUAUGUCACAUUAUGGAUAGACAAUGAAGGAGG
rnacentral:rRNA from 1 species